rnacentral:lncRNA from 1 species
UGCAAGACAAUUAUGAAAAAUACAAGCAAUCCAAUACUUGAGUAGCUUGGAAUCUGACCUAGGCUAGUUAUUAGGGGGAAAAUUACCAAUUGAUCACAAACCAUAGACACAGGCUAAAUGUGGCCAUAUUCUUAUAUACAAGAGUAUGUGGACACCCCGUCAAAUGAGUGGAUUUGGCUAUUUCAGCCCCACCUGUUGCUGACAAUUGUAUAAAAUCGAGCACACAGCCAUGCAAUCGCCAUAGUUAAACAUUGGUAGUAGAAUGGCCUUACUGAUGAGAUCAGUGACUUUCAAAGUGGCACUGUCUGUCAUAGGAUGCCACCUUUCCAACAAGGCAAUUCAUCAAAUUUCUGCCCUGUUAGAGCUGCCCCGGUCAACUUCACUGUUAUUGUGAAGUGGAAACGUCUAGGAGCAACUGAACAUGGACAAGGCGCAUGAGAAAAAGGACAGCCACCGGAGGAGAAUCAAGGGGACCAAGUGCUUUGACAUCCAGGCGAAUGACUUGGCUUGGAAGAAGGACGAAAGGAAGACUCGUGGUGGACCGCAUCGCCAUGCUGUCAGCAGUACCAACACUGGCCCAGGGGUUUCUCCAAAUAGUCAAUCUCACGGCUAACCACUGGGUUACGUUCAGUAACCGCCAUUUCCAGGACCUAGGGGGUUCUAACACCCAGAUGUGGAUCCACCUGAUGUCCUCCAUUACAAACAUCCUCCAACUUUUCAUUACAUCAGCUAC